rnacentral:rRNA from 1 species
AGUCGAACGGAAAGGCCCUGCUUGCAGGGUACUCGAGUGGCGAACGGGUGAGUAACACGUGGGUGAUCUGCCCUGCACUUCGGGAUAAGCUUGGGAAACUGGGUCUAAUACCGGAUAGGAGCCAUCUUUAGUGUGGUGGUUGGAAAGUUUUUUCGGUGUAGGAUGAGCUCGCGGCCUAUCAGCUUGUUGGUGGGGUAAUGGCCUACCAAGGCGGCGACGGGUAGCCGGCCUGAGAGGGUGUACGGCCACAUUGGGACUGAGAUGCGGCCCAGACUCCUACGGGAGGCAGCAGUGGGGAAUAUUGCACAAUGGGCGCAAGCCUGAUGCAGCGACGCCGCGUGGGGGAUGAAGGCCUUCGGGUUGUAAACUCCUUUCGCUAGGGACGAAGCUUUGUGUGACGGUACCUAGAUAAGAGGCACCGGCUAACUACGUGCCAGCAGCCGCGGUAAUACGUAGGGUGCGAGCGUUGUCCGGAAUUACUGGGCGUAAAGAGCUCAUAGGUGGUUUGUCGCGUCGUCUGUGAAAUUCUGGGGCUUAACUCCGGGCGUGCAGGCGAUACGGGCAUAACUUGAGUGCUGUAGGGGUAACUGGAAUUCCUGGUGUAGCGGUGAAAUGCGCAGAUAUCAGGAGGAACACCGAUGGCGAAGGCAGGUUACUGGGCAGUUACUGACGCUGAGGAGCGAAAGCAUGGGUAGCGAACAGGAUUA